GAUGAACGCUGGCGGCGUGCCUAAUACAUGCAAGUCGAGCGAACAGACCAGGAGCUUGCUCCUUUCACGUUAGCCGCGGACGGGUGAGUAACACGUGUAUAACCUACCUAUAUGACUGGUAUCAUCUCGGGAAACCGGAUCUAACACCGUAUAAUAUCUUGAACCGCGUUGUUCAAUGGUGAAAUUCGGUUUUGCUGGCACUUAUAGAUGGAUCUCCGCCGGAUUAGGUAGUUGGGAAGUAAAAGGGCUACCAAGGGUACGAUGCGUAUCCGACGUGAGAGGGUGAUAGGCGACCCUGGAACUGAGACACGCUCCUGACUCCUAAGGGAGGCCGCAGUAGGGUAUCGUCCGCAAUGGGCGAAAGCCUGACGGAGCGACGCCGCGUGAGUGAUGGAGGUCUUCGGAUCGUGAAGCUCUGUUAUUAGGGAAGAACCGAUGUGUAAGUAACUAUGGACGUAUUGACGGUACCUAAUCAGAAAGCCACGGCUAACUACGUG
rnacentral:rRNA from 1 species